CUGCAGCAACAGUCCAAAGAGUGAAAGUUGACUGCAGCCUAUAUAAGGGACUUUGCUAUCUCUGUCUUCUUUGCUGGAAAGGACAUCUGGCUCUGAAUGGAUCACCAUAAUCUCAACAUCUUUUUGACAUCAUGGCGACCAAAACUGAAUGCAAUAUUCCAAGUGUGACCUUACCAAGGUGAAAACAUUCAGAGCAAGCUGAAGGUGAACAGAAAAUGUUGUCUCUGCCUGUCCUACAGAAACUGUUGGUGGAUAUAUUCAGCAGGGCAAUCUGGCAGUGAAAAUAUGUCUUUAUGGUAAAAUAAAUGGAUUAGGUAGGAUUAAAAUUACCAAUGAAGAAGA